GCUUGUCUCAAAGAUUAAGCCAUGCAUGUAUAAGUUUAAUCGUUUAUCGAGAAACCGCGAACGGCUCAUUACAAUGGCCAUUAUUUACUUGAUCUUGAUUGUCUAAAUGGAUAACUGUGGAAAAGCUAGAGCUAAUACAUGCACUAAAGCUUUGUCCUUACGGAAAAGCGCAUUUAUUAGAACAAAACCACGCGGCUUCGGCUGCUUCUUGUUGACUCAGAAUAACUUAGCUGACCGCAUGGCCUUGUGCCGGCGGCGUGUCUUUCAAGCGUCCACUUUAUCAACUUGACGGGAGCAUAAUCGACUCCCGUGGUGGUGACGGAUAACGGAGGAUCAGGGUUCGACUCCGGAGAAGGGGCCUGAGAAAUGGCCACUACGUCUAAGGAUGGCAGCAGGCGCGCAAAUUACCCACUCUCGGCUCGAGGAGGUAGUGACGAGAAAUAACGAGACUGUUCUCUUUGAGGCCGGUCAUCGGAAUGGGUACAAUUUAAACCCUUUAACGAGUAUCAAGCAGAGGGCAAGUCUGGUGCCAGCAGCCGCGGUAAUUCCAGCUCUGCAAAUACAUAGAAUUAUUGCUGCGGUUAGAAAGCUCAUAGUUGGAUUCGUAUCGAUACCUUGGAACCCUUCGGGUGUCUCUAGGUGUUAUCGAUUUAUCGUAAUGUUCGGUUUUGAGUCCUUAACAGGAUUCUUAACAGGCAUUGCAAGUUUACUUUGAACAAAUCAGAGUGCUUCAAACAGGCGUUUUCGCUUGAAUGAUCGUGCAUGGAAUAAUAGAAAAUGAUUUCGGUUCAGUUUUAUUGGUUUUACGGACUGAGAUAAUGGUUAACAGAGACAAACGGGGGCAUUUGUAUGGUCCCGUGAGAGGUGAAAUUCUUGGACCGUGGCCAGACAAACUACAGCGAAAGCAUUUGCCAAGAAUGUUUUUAUUAAUCAAGAACGAAAGUCAGAGGUUCGAAGGCGAUCAGAUACCGCCCUAGUUCUGACCGUAAACGAUGCCAACUAGCGAUCCGCCGAUGGAAAUUAUAUUGCCUUGGUGGGGAGCUUCCCGGAAACGAAAGUCUUCCGGUUCCGGGGGAAGUAUGGUUGCAAAGCUGAAACUUAAAGGAAUUGACGGAAGGGCACCACCAGGAGUGGAGCCUGCGGCUUAAUUUGACUCAACACGGGGAAACUCACCCGGCCCGGACACUGUGAGGAUUGACAGAUUGAUAGCUUUUUCAUGAUUCAGUGGAUGGUGGUGCAUGGCCGUUCUUAGUUCGUGGAGUGAUUUGUCUGGUUUAUUCCGAUAACGAGCGAGACUCUAACCUACUAAAUAGUUGGUACAUACUCUUAGUGUAUACAGCUUCUUAGAGGGAUUUGCGGCGUUCAGCCGAAAGAAAUUGAGCAAUAACAGGUCUGUGAUGCCCUUAGAUGUCCGGGGCUGCACGCGCGCUACACUGGCAAAAUCAACGUGCUUGUCCUACCCUGAAAGGGGCGGGUAAACCAUUGAAAAUUUGCCGUGAUUGGGAUCGGAAAUUGCAAUUAUUUUCCGUGAACGAGGAAUUCCAAGUAAGUGCGAGUCAUCAGCUCGCGUUGAUUACGUCCCUGCCCUUUGUACACACCGCCCGUCGCUGCCCGGGACUGAGCCAUUUCGAGAAAUUUGGGGACCGUUGAUUUAAUUUUUCUAAAUUACUUUGAUGGAAACCAAUUUAAUCGCAGUGGCUUGAA
rnacentral:rRNA from 1 species